UAACUAUAAAUCUUUUUUUGUCUAUGACUAUUAAACCCAAACCAAAUUAAAAAAACAAAAAAAAACAAGAAGGAAAUAACCCGAAGCUAGAAACCCUAAAACUAAAAGCGAUUUUGGAUCUGGAAAGGCGAAGCUAAGGGUGAACCAUGAGCGGCGAUACUAGUGAUUCCUCCAGUUACUUUGAUGGGCGAGAGCCAGAUGAACUGAUCAGGGCCCUCGUCGAGAAAUCCCCAGGUACCGAUGGUAAAACAGCGCUCGGUUUGCACUUUAUUGAUCUGAAAAGCAAUAAAGUCUUUAUUAGGGCGAUGCCACCUGAUGCUCCUUCAGGUUCCACUGCCGUUGCCUGUGGCAACCACGUUUACGUUAUUGGGGGAAUACGCGAAAAUGAUGCUAGUCUUCGUGGUUAUGAUGAAGUAAACGAUGUUUUCCAAUUAGAUUUGAAGGACCUUGAACGUGGGUGGAGAAAAAUACUUCUAUGUUGUUCCCUCGGGCUUUUCCCCUGGUUCUUGCUGCUGAAGGAAAGAUUUACGUCUUCGAAGAUUCUUCCCGAUCUCGGAUUUUGGUGCACUGCAAUGCCAAUGAUACUCUUUACGCUUAUUACUAUGAUCGUAAAUCAUGGGUUUGCCUCGAACAAAAAUUUUGUUACUGGUCUGACUCAGCGACAAUCGUGGACGAUGUCCUGUAUACUGUCAUUUAUAAUUAUUCUGGGAGGGAUUCAUGCAGCUGCAGAGCAUCAAUUUGCGAUCACUGUUUCAUAUCCCGAAGAUAUUUCUAGUAUAUGGUUGUUCUGAAUGAAGGUUAGAGCCCCCUUCAUAUCAAUACUACAUGAUAAUUAUUCAUUUGCCAAUGCUGCUUGCCAUUAUAUUUGGAUUGCUCUAAAUGAAGCUUUUCUCUUUUGCUUUUACCCAUUUUGGUUUGGUUCUUUGUUCCUCUUCUCUUCUCCACCGUUUAUGAACACGAGGAAAAAGGUAUAUUCUUAACCAUUGUGGAAUUCAAAUACGUUUGAUCUGUUUGUUUGACAAUGAGCAGUGGUGCUGCAAUUUCAUGAUUUUUGACUAGCUGGCCAUGGUUUAGUCUUGAUAUCCUGCAAGAAUAUUAUUUUUAAAUCAUUUGAAGUCUAAAGAGCUCCCAUCUUUAUCUUUCCUAUUAUUAAACACAAAUAUAGAGCAAAAAAGAAAGGUGAAAAUGCGCAUGGUCGAGAAAGUGAUGAUGAUGACGACGACGAUGAUGAUGGUGAUGACGGUGAAUCAAACAAUUCAAGUGAUUUUGAAAUGGAAUUAACAAGAGAUGCUAUAGCUUCUAGUUUAAUGAAUUCACUUUAAAUUGAUGCUAUUGUAAAAUUUUUAGUAUUUAUAUUUGGUAUAUAAAUAUUAUCCCUUUUGAAACUUUAAUCCAAAUAUAUGUAAUAUUUUAA